rnacentral:rRNA from 1 species
CCUACGGGGGGCUGCAGUAAGGAAUAUUGGUCAAUGGACGAAAGUCUGAACCAGCCAUGCCGCGUGGAGGAUGAAGGUCCUCUGGAUUGUAAACUUCUUUUAUAUGGGACGAAAAAAGGCCUUUCUAGGCCGUCUGACGGUACCAUAUGAAUAAGCACCGGCUAACUCCGUGCCAGCAGCCGCGGUAAUACGGAGGGUGCCAGCGUCACUGGGAUUAACUGGGGCUUAGGUGGGCGGAGAUGGGUGUGGUGAAAUCUCCGAGCUUAACUUGGAAACUGCCAUUGAUACUAUUAAUCUUGAAUAUUGUGGAGGUUAGCGGAAUAUGUCAUGUAGCGGUGAAAUGCUUAGAUAUGACAUAGAACACCAAUUGCGAAGGCAGCUGGCUACACAUAUAUUGACACUGAGGCACGAAAGCGUGGGGAUCAAACAGGAUUAGAUACCCCUGUAGUC